AUUGAACGCUGGCGGCAGGCCUAACACAUGCAAGUCGAACGCGUGGCGGACGGGUGAGUAAUGUCUGGGAACCUGCCUGAUGGAGGGGGAUAACUACGGGAAACGGUAGCAAAUACCGCAUACCAUCGGAUGUGCCCUAGUGGGGUGAGCUAGUAGGUGGGGGAACGGCUCACCUAGGCGACGAUCCCUAGCUGGUCUGAGAGGGUGACCAGCCACACUGGAACUGAGACACGGUCCAGACUCCUACGGGAGGCAGCAGUGGGGAAUAUUGCACAAGGGGCGAAAGCCUGAUGCAGCAAUGCCGCGUGUAUGAAGAAGGCCUUCGGGUUGUAAAGUACUUUCAGCGGGGAAGCGUUACCUGCAGAAGAAGCAACGGCUAACUCCGUGCCAGCAGCCGCGGUAAUUC
rnacentral:rRNA from 1 species